rnacentral:rRNA from 1 species
UACGAGGGGGGCAAGCGUUGUUCGGAAUUAUUGGGCGUAAAGGGCGCGUAGGCGGUGCGGUAAGUCACCUGUGAAAUCUCUGGGCUCAACUCAGAGUCUGCAGGCGAAACUGCCGUGCUGGAGUAUGGGAGAGGUGCGUGGAAUCCCGGUGUAGCGGUGAAAUGCGUAGAUAUCGGGAGGAACACCUGUGGCGAAAGCGGCGCACUGGACCAUACUGACGCUGAGGCGCGAAAGCUAGGGGAGCAAACAGG